rnacentral:rRNA from 1 species
ACGGAAGGCAGCAGUGGGGAAUAUUGGGCAAUGGGCGCAAGCCUGACCCAGCGACGCCGCGUGAGUGAAGAAGUAUUUCGGUAUGUAAAGCUCUAUCAGCAGGGAAGAUAAUGACGGUACCUGACUAAGAAGCUCCGGCUAAAUACGUGCCAGCAGCCGCGGUAAUACGUAUGGAGCAAGCGUUAUCCGGAUUUACUGGGUGUAAAGGGAGCGUAGACGGCAUAGCAAGUCUGAUGUGAAAUCCCCGGGCUCAACCCGGGAACUGCAUUGGAAACUGUUAAGCUAGAGUGCAGGAGAGGUAAGUGGAAUUCCUAGUGUAGCGGUGAAAUGCGUAGAUAUUAGGAGGAACACCAGUGGCGAAGGCGGCUUACUGGACUGUAACUGACGUUGAGGCUCGAAAGCGUGGGGAGCAAACAGGAUUAGAUACCCUGGUA